AUUGAACGCUGGCGGCAGGCUUAACACAUGCAAGUCGAGCGGGGGAGGUUGCUUCGGUAACUGACCUAGCGGCGGACGGGUGUGUAAUGCUUAGGAAUCUGCCUAUUAGUGGGGGACAACAUUCCGAAAGGGAUGCUAAUACCGCAUACGCCCUACGGGGGAAAGCAGGGGAUCUUCGGACCUUGCGCUAAUAGAUGAGCCUAAGUCGGAUUAGCUAGUUGGUGGGGUAAAGGCCUACCAAGGCGACGAUCUGUAGCGGGUCUGAGAGGAUGAUCCGCCUCACUGGGACUGAGACACGGCCCAGACUCCUACGGGAGGCAGCAGUGGGGAAUAUUGGACAAUGGGCGGAAGCCUGAUCCAGCCAUGCCGCGUGUGUGAAGAAGGCCUUUUGGUUGUAAAGCACUUUAAGCGAGGAGGAGGCUCUUAAGGUUAAUACCCUUGAUGAGUGGACGUUACUCGCAGAAUAAGCACCGGCUAACUCUGUGCCAGCCGCCGCAGUAAAAC
rnacentral:rRNA from 1 species